CAAUUUUAACAAUCAUGAUCUAUCCUCAUGUAUAUGAAAACCUAAGAUAAAUCUUUUUUUUUAAAUUAAGGAAAUUUUUAGAAAAUCAUUACUUUAACCAACUUCAAUCUCUACCACUGCAUUUGGAACAAAUAAUAUUUAGUCAGAUGGAAUGCCUCUCAAAUAUUUAAAAGAGUGCCCACUGCAAGCUCUGCCUAAGAAGGUUAAGUAAAGAGAAUAUCUGGCCACUUUCCUCAGUGUAUCUCAGUAAAUACUAUGUUAUUUAGCUCUUCUAUCAGCAGGUGAAGAAAAGAUGGAGCAAUAUGAGUUAUGAAAAACAUAUAGAGAAGGUGAGAAGAAAUUAGAGAAGAGGAAAGUAGGUGAAAGUUAUUCAAAUAUGUAAGCUGUUUAUUGCAUCAGUAAUUUUCAAAGAAAAUGAAUGUAAAGUAAACAGAGCAACAGGUUGGGCCAAAAAAAAUCCUGUAUUUAAAAAAAAAUUAGAAAUAUUUUUUCCUGUUUAAUACAAGGGGCCUGUGAAAAAACUAGAAAGAAAACAGCCACAUGGCAAGAGAAGAAGGAAUGGAAGAAGGCUCUGGGAGGUGUUGAAUUUGUUUGAGUUCUUUCUCCUAGAAGACAGAAGCAGGUGCAAUAGAACACAAAUAUAAAAAGGGAAGCCAAGGUUCCUGCCUGGGUCAUAAAAAAUACUGGAUACAAAAGAUUUUAGAAGAAGAAGGAGAAAACAAAUUCAGGGGCAAGACACCAGAACCAUUGGAAAGACCGAUGGAGAGUUACGUGAAGAGCUUCCAGAAAAUAAGGCAUAUACAAGUGCUAGUAUUCCAGUCUUACACACAGAUGCAUAGAUAAAUAAAUAACAUCACACAUUUGCUAAUAAAUAGCACAGAUGACUUUUUAGAUGUAUCUCUAGAUGUAACGAUUCUUAGAAGCUUCAUACCCAAAUUUCCAGAUAUCUUCAACAGUCUAAAGUAGAACUCUUUACCAGCUCCAUCAAGAC
rnacentral:lncRNA from 10 species